rnacentral:tRNA from 1 species
GCCCUCGUAGCUCAGCUGGAUCAGAGCGCGACACUCCGGAUGUCGAGGUCCCGCGUUCGAGUCGCGGCGAGGGCU